AAAGGCCCCAGUGUUUGCCCAGGCUGCCGCCGCCGGCCACAGAUAUAUAUACCCGGCCCAGAACUUGCGGGAGGGGUGUGGAGGGGAGGGGAGUCUGGGGGAGGCAGGCGGCCUGGGGACCCCAUCCCCGCGGGAGAUGGGGGGAGGAGGCCGGAGCCAGAGGCCCAGGGGGCCAAGGACAGUGGGGGGAGUGCCCCCCCCGUCUGAGCCCCCAGAUCCUUCCCAGAGAGCCAGCUCAGGGAGCAAGGGACAGGGAGCCAGGAGGUCCGGUAGCUUCCAAGGAACCCAUGGAGGGCAGGCUUGGGAGAAAGGGCUGGGGCAGGGACCAGGACAGAUGGGGGGGGGGGCACUGCCAGAGACACACCUCUUUGUACCUAAAAUGUAGACUCUCUGGCCAGAGACGUGCCCCUGCCCCUGCCCCUGCCCCUGCCAGUUGAGGUGAGACCUUAGCCCAGUCUGUUGCUUUCUCUGGGACUCAGUUUCCCCACUCCCACUUGGUCUGGCUGGGUUCUAGGGUCCCUUCUGCUCUCCAACGGGAUCUCCCAGGCUCGAGGAGCCAGGGCCCGGGGCCUUGUGCCCCCUUGGCUGCCAGCCUGGCCGGACACCUGAAGUGUCCCGGGCCUGUGUGGCCAUGCAUCCGUGUGUCCCGGUGUCCCCCUGAGUCCCUGGCCAGCGUACUUUUCCGCUCUGGGCGUGGGCCUCGGGCGGGUGGGGGAUGGCACGCCGGGCCAGCCCGGGCCAGCCGCCUCCCCUGGGCGCGGAGACCCCGCUCCCGCUCCUGUGGCCGCGGCCCCCGCGGAGGGGCUGGGGGGGCUUGGAGACCCCAGUGACGCCCCCGGGCGGGGGGAGGGGGGUCUCCGGGCCAGGGCUGGGUUGGGCCCCCACUUCCAGCCCCGGCUCCUUCCUCCCCCUCCCCCUCCCCCCCCAGAGGACGGGGAUGAAAAAGAGUCUUUUCAGCUGGAGGCGGCAGUGGCGGCUCCCUCGCUGCUCGCGUGGAAUAAUAUUUGGGCUGUUGGCCGGGGUGGGGGCCAGAUCCGGGGGCCUCUGGGGAGCGGCUAAACCGCAGCCUCCGGCCUCAGCCCCGGCCCCGCCUGGCCCCCGGCCUGCUCGCUCCGGGAGAGACCCCGAGGUCCGCGGAGGGGGGAGGGAGCCCAGGGAGAGACUGAGCCCCUGUCUGCUGCUGCUGCUGCUCCCAGUUGUUUUUUCCAGGAAGCCGGAGGAAUUCCCCGGGCGGGCUCCGGAGGACGCAGGGACAGACUGGGAGCCAGGUGGAAAGAGCCCUAACUGUGGUGGGGGAGCCAGCCUCGGGCUGAGACAGAGCCGGGAGCUCUGGAGCCGGGAAGCCCGCAGUGAGGGCCGGUAUCCCGGGGCGAGAUGGGGGGGAGGGGAGGAAAAGAGGAUCGAGCCCGGCGCUAUCCCAUGGCCUCCCUCUCCCCCCCAACGCCCCCUCCCCCCAGUGGGCAGAGGCUGGGGACCCUCCACGUGUGCGUGGGGGGCUGGGGGAGGGUCCUGCGGGGAGAGACCGCCUCCCCCUCGCUCUCGGCGGACCGGCGGGGGCGGCUCUGGUGAACAAACUGUUCUGGGGUCAGGGCCACCGCAGGAGAGCAAAGGUCAGGCCCGGGCCUGCCUUCCCCGCCCCCUCCCCAGCUCCGGCGCUCGGAGCCCGCCCAGAGGGCUCUGGGCUCUGGGGAGAGCUCUCCCAGAGCUCCCACCGCUGUGUAAGGGAGUUCUCGGGGAGCCUCGGCUUGGGAGUCCCGGCUGGGAGGGACCUUACCCUCCCAUAUUACAGAUGAGGGAAACCGAGGCUCGGAGGGAGAGGAAGGGGCUUCCCCAGGGGAGCCGGUGGCAACCCUAAAAUGCAACCUGGGUCCUCGGGCUCCAAAGGCUGCAUCAGAGUCCCUGGGCCUGAGCUUAAAUUUCUGCAAAAUCGCUUACAGUGUGACCCUGGGACAUCCCUGCCCCCCUGGCCUGGGCUCUGGCCCUCCGGGGCCCCUUCCACCCCCCCCCCUUACAGAGGAAGCAGUCCCCAUUUUGUCCCGUCUGCUCCCCGCAAACAUUCGGGGCUCGGGGAGAUUGGAGGGGGAUGAGCUCCGCUGACAAAAGGCACCCGUGAGUCUGCCCGCUCCCCUGUGGCCACCGCCGGGGAGAGGGGCCCGAACGCCGGGCUCCUCCCCGUCCUGACGCAGGAGAAAAGAGGCAGCUGGGAUGCAGGCUGAGAGGGGGGAGAAAAGCUUUAAUGUCCAAGUCCAGAAGCCACUGAAGAAGGGCGUCCCCUUCCUGGCCACGGGCCCCUCACUGCGCUCCCCUCCCACCCAAGGGCUCAAAGGGAGCAGCUGCAACCGACCCUCCCCUCGGUCUCCACUGACCCUCCAGCCAAUCCCGACUUCGACUAGUGUAACAGGGAAAAUGGCAGCCAAGGUGAUGACCAAUGGGGACCAAGGCCCCGGCUAAGACAGCGGCAGGAAGAAGGGAGGACGAGGCCACCGUGCCACCCCCGGGGAUGCCCACCCAGAGGGCGCCGCCGAGCCGCGAGGCCCACAGGGCCCCAAAGGGCCGCCGAU
ensembl:lncRNA